GCUCUUGCUCAGCUUCUCUUUCACAUGCAAGCACGUUAACACACACAUACACGCGCGCGCACACACACACUCACUCACGCUGCAUCCCUCCCGUUCUGUUGCACUGAAGUCCAGAUUUGCUCUGACCAUUCCUGCACACAAGCAGAGAGCGACACAACAUGACGGUGCCUAAGACCAUAGAAACUGCCACAGAGGUGGGGGCAGAGAUCAUCUUCAAGGUUGCUGUCAUCUGGAAUUUUAUGUCCUUCAUUUUCUUUCACUCUAUAUGCCUGUCACAUCGGCUUAACUACCAGAGAAGACUCUUCUUGUCUUGAAACCUGACUGGAUUCUUCCAGCCUCUUUAGUUGAUGUAAAGAAAGAAAAUGCUGCUUCUUAUAGUCCUGGAUAGUACUCUGCAAUUCAUCUUGGAGAUCGCAAAGACUAUGGAGUUUUCUGGGAAGAAUCUUUCGUUUUUAUUUCUGCACUCCAAGCAGAUGUAAUAAAUGCUGUACAAGCACAAAUAUAUGUAACUUUUACCAGUGACUGUUUUUCAGGAGUGGUGUCAAAAAUGCAACCUACUGUGAUUUGUGUUUUUAAGCUGCGUAACAGAGGCCGAUCAGCUCUGCAUUUGCAGUCUAGAGGCAAACUCCUGCACUUAUACAGGCAAAUUCCAGGACUGGAUGAACAGUGAGAGCAACCUCUUCAUUUCUGUGGGAUUUUCUCUACUACCAGAUCCAGUUCUAUAAAAUAUGACCUUCAAAUGGAGGGGGAACCUAAUCCUAUUCAAAGUUACAUGUGCCUAAUUUCAAAGCUUUAUGCCUGAGGGCUAUCCACACUGAGAGAGAUACUGCAUGUUGCUCAGUCUUCUUCCUAUUCACACACUUUUAUUGCUGUGAUUCAGUUGUAGAAAAUAGCUUAUAAAAAAGACAGUUUGAGAUGUUGUAUUCCUUUUUCCAUCAGUAAAGCAUAGCCAAACAGACACUACAAACAGUAUAGUUUCUUUUUGUCUUUCCUCUUCUUAGAAAUGCUGGUUUACAAUGGGUUAAAAAUCUACUGCUAAGCACUGGCCAUUUUAAGGUGUAUUCUUCUCCCCUGCUGAUUUGCCCUCUGACCUUCUGGGGGCCAGGGUGGCUGCAGACUUCAUUUUUACUCUAUUUCCUGGUCUCUCUCUUGGCUGUGCACUCAAUGUUUCCACAGCAGAUUAAUGACAGCUAAUAAUAUCUGAUAUA